CUCCUUGGUUAAUAUCGAAUCACUGCUCAUAUUCUAACAGUGUUCCUCAUUUAGCUCUUUCAUAAACGAGCCUAGUUCUCAAUCCUCCGUCUCUACUGAUUUUGCCUGCAAUUGCUCUUUCACUAUUUUCAUCGGAAACUGCUGAAUCCGAGAGGAGACUUUUUUGUUACUUCGCUCAGCUCUCCGGGCAAAAACAAAGAUAUACAUGUUUGCAAGUUAUGCAUCACGCAGCUUCUUACGGUCUUCCGCUUCUCUCACAGUGUUUCCCGUUCAACAGCAAAUUAUACCCAUUGCAAAAAUUCUGUCAAAAACUUCUGUGCACAUUCCAAAUUGAUUUACUGAUGGUAGUGGCUCGACAACUGCAAUUAUUUCUGAAUUCAUUUAGGAAAAAUCAUCCUGGAGAAGUUCUAACAAUAUGCGUGCAAGUCAAUCGAUUUUGGCCUACGUAGAAAAGGAACACAUCUUUCCACCGGGUAUUGGCGAGAGGAAACAAAAAAGAAACUCAAGCCUCUAAGUACCAGGAGGUCACGGGUUUGAGCCGUGGAAACAGCCUCUUGCAGAAAUGCAUGGUAAGGCUGCGUAGAUAGACCCUUGUAGUCCGGCCCUUCACUGAACCCCGCGCAUUGCGCGAGCUUAGUGCACCGUCUGCCCUUUUUAAGCCUCUAAGUACUAAUGAGGUAGAAAUGGAAGCAGCGGUUGUGAUAUCUGAAUCUUCUAAGCACAAGGCUGAAGCUAGAAGAUUGAGUCCCCCAAAGUAUCUAUAGUUGAGGAUUGAGAUUACUUCUAUUCUCUGACUUCUAAAUUGGUGUGAUUAUAAUAUUAUGCAGCAUAGAUUAUGCUUCCUUCCUUACAAUUCUGAUUGUCUUCCUUUUGCACUAAUUUAUGUUUUCCAAAGUCAAGAAGUAUCAACCUUUUUUUGGGGAUCUUUUGCUACUGAAAAAGAAAACCUUUUUGGGUUCUCAAUUGAAUGCUAAAGUCUCAUUCCCCCUACCCUUCACAAUAUUAUUUCUAAUGUAAGUUAAUCGAGUGAACUUGUGAAUGAAAAGGGAAUGUAUCACUGCCAACAUGCGCUAUUUUUAAGAAUGAGUUGAUGCAGGCUACAAAAGCAUUAUGUGGUGGUGGUGAUCAAUCAUUAAAAACUAGGGAGGAUGAUUAUGCUGGUUAUGAAAAUUUUUGGUUGCCUAAGUGUUCUACAUUUACAGGUAAAGCAAUGUGCCACUUUCUUUUACGUUAGUUCAAACAAGUGUUGCCUCUAAUUACAUGAGAUUAGUUGAUCUUAGUAGAUAUUUACAUCUAUUUUAUCUUGGUUUAGUUGUCGAGAGACUUUGCAAUAAACAAUAUGACAUUACAUAUGCUAACUUUUCAAAUUUCUUCUAGCUUAACCUUAAGCACUUUGAGGUAGAAUUUUCCUGCAGCGAUUUUUCAGGUCAAAGUUUCUUUUAAUGUGUUCCAGCUACAUUUAUUUGGAACAUUUAGGGAAUUCAUAUUAUAUUUUAGUAUAUGCAAGGGUAGAGUAACUCACUAAUGUUCAAAAUACAAUAUGAGGCUUAUGGGUUGUGUUCCAUAAAAAUUGGCUACUAAGGUUAGUACUACAGCUCCAGCUCAGAGGCAAAGCCAAGAUUGAGGCUUAUGGGUUGUGUUCCAUAAAAAUUGGCUACUAAGGUUAGUACUACAGCUCCAGCUCAGAGGCAAAGCCAAGAUUGAGGCUUAUGGGUUAUGUUGUACUGAAGAUACAAACAGUUUAUGUAUUUUUUCCGAUAUUAUGUAUGUAAUAUUUAUAUGUUAAUGGUUUCACUAGACACUGCACUUAUGCCUUCUUCA